rnacentral:rRNA from 1 species
GACGAACGCUGGCGGCGUGCUUAACACAUGCAAGUCGAGCGAUGAAGCACCUUCGGGUGUGAAUUAGCGGCGAACGGGUGAGGAACACGUGAGAAAUCUGCCUUCAACACUGGGAUAACUCCGGGAAACCGGGGCUAAUACCGGAUAUGAAACCUGCGGGCAUCCGCGGGUUUGGAAAGUUUUUCGGUUGAAGAUGAUCUCGCGGCCUAUCAGCUUGUUGGUGAGGUAAUGGCUCACCAAGGCGACGACGGGUAGCCGGCCUGGGAGGGCGACCGGCCACACUGGGACUGAGACACGGCCCAGACUCCUACGGGAGGAAGCAGUGGGGAAUAUUGGGCAAUGGAGGAAACUCUGACCCAGCGACGCCGCGUGCGGGAUGAAGGCCUUCGGGUUGUAAACCGCUUUCAGCAGGGAAGAAGCGAAAGUGACGGUACCUGCAGAAGAAGCACCGGCUAACUAUGUGCCAGCAGCCGCGGUAA